AUUUUAAGAGCGUUUAAAAAUAAAUUUAAGGUAAAACUAUUGCCUUUUAUGUAAACCCUGACGGCCAUACCCUCCGCCAGGAUGUACACAACAACAGCUGCUGGGAGGCGGAGAUGUUACAACAAAACUUGGGGAAAUUGAACUGAUCCAUGACAGAUGAAAAUGAUAACUGGAGCAUGGAGCAAGAGCUCCCACCAGCCUCACCAUUACCACCACCACAGCACCACCACCUAUGGCAAGAUGAGUUAACCCUGGUAAAUUGAACAGCACCAUCACAACUAAAAAUGAUCACUGCAGGCUGAGACAAAUAACUGCCAUUGUAGAACUUAAUUCCAAUGAACACUAUAACACCACCACAACAUAUCACAAGCAAGCACAGAGCAG